GCGGACAUUGCAUCCUUUCGGGUACAUCUGCUGAAACCUUAGUGAAUUGGUUAGGCGACUCAAAACAAGUAUAACCCUCGGGGCUUGCCCUCGAGCACUAGCCGUCCCUCGUGGAUAGCGA
rnacentral:rRNA from 2 species